rnacentral:tRNA from 1 species
GGUAAAGUAGUGAAGUUCACGUCAUUAUUUCAUGAUGAAUAUGGUUAGUC